rnacentral:rRNA from 1 species
UACGUAGGGGGCAAGCGUUGUCCGGAAUUAUUGGGCGUAAAGCGCGCGCAGGUGGUUUCUUAAGUCUGGUGGGGAAGCCCACGGCUCAACCGUGGAGGGUCAUUGGAAACUGGGGAACUUGAGUGCAGAAGAGGAAAGUGGAAUUCCAAGUGUAGCGGUGAAAUGCGUAGAGAUUUGGAGGAACACCAGUGGCGAAGGCGACUUUCUGGUCUGUAACUGACACUGAGGCGCGAAAGCGUGGGGAGCGAACAGG